GACUCUCGGCAACGGAUAUCUCGGCUCACGCAUCGAUGAAGAACGUAGCAAAAUGCGAUACUUGGUGUGAAUUGCAGAAUCCCGUGAACCAUCGAGUUUUUGAACGCAAGUUGCGCCCGAAGCCAUCCGGUUGAGGGCACGUCUGCCUGGGCGUCACGC
rnacentral:rRNA from 3 species